GACGAACCGUCCGAACGUUAUUCGGAAUCACUGGGCUUAAAGGGUGCGUAGGCGGCGCGGAAAGUUGGGUGUGAAAUCCCUCGGCUCAACCGAGGAACUGCGCCCAAUACUACCGUGCUCGAGGGAGAUAGAGGUGAGCGGAACUUAGGGUGGAGCGGUGAAAUGCGUUGAUAUCCUAAGGAACACCGGUGGCGAAAGCGGCUCACUGGAUCUCUUCUGACGCUGAGGCACGAAAGCUAGGGUAGCGAACGGG
rnacentral:rRNA from 1 species